rnacentral:lncRNA from 1 species
CCCGUCUGGAGAUUCUGGGGACAUCUCAAACUUUUUAUGGGAACGUGUCGUCUUGUGUGUGUGAGCUCCCCGACCUCUACCCCAGGCUUUACAGCUUCUUUUUCAGGAGGGUUGUGCAACCAUCACCACACUCUAAUUUCAGAACAUUUUCAUCUCCCCUGAAGGAACCCUGCGCCUCUCCACUCCCCUGCAACCACUGGGCUACUUCCUGUCUCUCUAGUUUGGCCUUUUCUGGACAUUUGAAAUAAUA